UCAUCCCACCCGUGAACAGAAGAAACAUCCUGGUCAUGAAACACAACUACUCACAAGAUGCCGCAGAUGCCUGUGACAUUGACGAGAUUGAGGAGGUUCCCACCACGAGCCACAGGCUAUCCAGACACGAAAAAUCCGUCCAGCGGUUCUGCCUCAUUGGGUCUCUAAGCAAACAUGAAUCUGAAUACAACACAACUAGGGUCUAACACGAAAAUCCAAGGAAACAAAUGCAAAAGCAAGCUUCAUCAAGCUUCCGUCAUUUGCUUGGAGCAUUUAGAGAAGUUCUUCCUUCCCGUGAACCGGCAUGAGCACACCAUCGCUUUUCUCUUUGGGAAUCAUAACAGUUGUGCAGCCAGCACAUUCUUUGUCCCUAUAGUUUUUUUUCUCUUCAAUUGCUGACCCAUGCUAUUUUCCAGCCACUCAUUGAAAAAUUGUUUGGGGGUGUCUCUUACUACUCACCGAUACUCAAAUGAAAAUUACAGCUGACCAGGACGUAUGAUGUGUAAGUUAUUUAAAAUAAAAUAUUCCUUUUAUAUU
rnacentral:lncRNA from 1 species